rnacentral:rRNA from 1 species
GCUUACGGCCACACCGCCUGGUUCACGCUUGAUCUCCGAAGCUAAGAUAGGUUGUGCCUGGUUAGUACUUGGAUGGGAGACCGCCUGGGAAUACCAGGUGCUGUAAGCU